CGAGCGGUAACAGGGGUAGCUUGCUACCCGCUGACGAGCGGCGGACGGGUGAGUAAUGCAUAGGAAUCUGCCCGGUAGUGGGGGAUAACCUGGGGAAACCCAGGCUAAUACCGCAUACGUCCUACGGGAGAAAGGGGGCUNCGGCUCCCGCUAUUGGAUGAGCCUAUGUCGGAUUAGCUAGUUGGUGAGGUAAAGGCUCACCAAGGCAACGAUCCGUAGCUGGUCUGAGAGGAUGAUCAGCCACAUCGGGACUGAGACACGGCCCGAACUCCUACGGGAGGCAGCAGUGGGGAAUAUUGGACAAUGGGGGCAACCCUGAUCCAGCCAUGCCGCGUGUGUGAAGAAGGCCCUCGGGUUGUAAAGCACUUUCAGCGAGGAAGAACGCCUACGGUUAAUACCCGUUAGGAAAGACAUCACUCGCAGAAGAAGCACCGGCUAACUCCGUGCCAGCAGCCGCGGUAAUACGGAGGGUGCAAGCGUUAAUCGGAAUUACUGGGCGUAAAGCGCGCGUAGGUGGCUUGAUAAGCCGGUUGUGAAAGCCCCGGGCUCAACCUGGGAACGGCAUCCGGAACUGUCAGGCUAGAGUACAGGAGAGGAAGGUAGAAUUCCCGGUGUAGCGGUGAAAUGCGUAAGAUCGGGAGGAAUACCAGUGGCGAAGGCGGCCUUCUGGACUGAUACUGACACUGAGGUGCGAAAGCGUGGGUAGCAAACAGGAUUAGAUACCCUGGUAGUCCACGCCGUAAACGAUGUC
rnacentral:rRNA from 2 species